rnacentral:rRNA from 1 species
UAGGGAAUCUUCGGCAAUGGACGAAAGUCUGACCGAGCAACGCCGCGUGAGUGAAGAAGGUUUUCGGAUCGUAAAACUCUGUUGUUAGAGAAGAACAAGGACGUUAGUAACUGAACGUCCCCUGACGGUAUCUAACCAGAAAGCCACGGCUAACUACGUGCCAGCAGCCGCGGUAAUACGUAGGUGGCAAGCGUUGUCCGGAUGUAUUGGGCGUAAAGCGAGCGCAGGCGGUUUCUUAAGUCUGAUGUGAAAGCCCCCGGCUCAACCGGGGAGGGUCAUUGGAAUCUGGGAGACUUGAGUGCAGAAGAGGAGAGUGGAAUUCCAUGUGUAGCGGUGAAAUGCGUAGAUAUAUGGAGGAACACCAGUGGCGAAGGCGGAUCUCUGGUCUGUAACUGACGCUGAGGCUCGAAAGCGUGGGGAGCAAACAGG